GACGAACGCUGGCGGCGUGCUUAACACAUGCAAGUCGAACGGAAAGGCCCUGCUUUUUUGGGGUUCUCGAGUGGCGAACGGGUGAGUAACACGUGAGUAACCUGCCCUUCACUUUGGGAUAACUUCAGGAAACUGGGCCUAAUACCGGAUAGGAUCUCCUGCUGCAGGGUGGGGGUUGGAAAGUUUCGGCGGUUGGGGAUGGACUCGCGGCUUAUCAGCUUGUUGGUGGGGGAGUGGCUUACCCAGGCUUUGACGGGUAGCCGGCCUGAGAGGGUGAACGGCCACAUUGGGACUGAGAUACGGACCAGACUCGUACGGGAGGCAGCAGUGGGGAAUAUUGUACAAUGGGCGGAAGCCUGAUGCAGCAACGCCGCGUGCGGGAUGACGGCCUUCGGGUUGUAAAACGCAUUCGCCUGUGACGAAGCGUGAGUGACGGUAAUGGGUAAAGAAGCACCGGCUAACUACGUG
rnacentral:rRNA from 1 species